GGCCUAACACAUGCAAGUCGAGCGAGAAAGGGGAAACCCCNGGUAAAGCGGCGCACGGGUGAGUAACACGUAGGUAAUUUACCCCCAGGUGGUGGAUAACCUUCCGAAAGGAGGGCUAAUACAGCAUAAGACCACGUCUUCGCAAGGAGAUGAGGUCAAAGCCGGCCUCUUCACGAAAGCUGGCGCCAGGGGAUGAGCCUGCGGCCCAUCACGGUAGUUGGUAGGGUAAUGGCCUACCAAGCCUAAGACGGGUAGCUGGUCUGAGAGGAUGAUCAGCCACACUGGAACUGAGACACGGUCCAGACUCCUACGGGAGGCAGCAGUGGGGAAUCUUGCGCAAUGGGCGAAAGCCUGACGCAGCGACGCCGCGUGAGUGAUGAAGGCCUUCGGGUUGUAAAGCUCUGUGGGGAGGGACGAAUAAGUGCUGGCUAAUAUCCAGCGCGAUGACGGUACCUCUUUAGCAAGCACCGGCUAACUCUGUGCCAGCAGCCGCGGUAAU
rnacentral:rRNA from 1 species